UUGUAAGUAAUGAAGAGCGUACGGUGGAUGCCUUGGCACCAGGAGCCGAUGAAGGACGUAGGAGGCUGCGAUAAGCCUCGGGGAGCUGUCAACCGAGCUGUGAUCCGAGGAUGUCCGAAUGGGGAAACCCAGCACGAGUGAUGUCGUGUUACCCGCGCCUGAAUAUAUAGGGCGUGUGGAGGGAACGUGGGGAAGUGAAACAUCUCAGUACCCACAGGAAGAGAAAACAACCGUGAUUCCGUGAGUAGUGGCGAGCGAAAGCGGAAGAGGCUAAACCAUGGGUGUGUGAUAGCCGGCAGGUGUUGCAUUCGUGGGGUUGUGGGGUUCAUUUUGUCAAUACUGCCGUGUUGGCCAACAGUAAGAAAUCACAGGGUUAGUGGAAGUGGUCUGGAACGGCCUGUCGU
rnacentral:rRNA from 1 species